rnacentral:rRNA from 1 species
AAUAGAUACCCUGGUAGUCCACGCCGUAAACGAUGAGUGCUAAGUGUUAGAGGGUUUCCGCCCGUUUAGUGCUGAAGUUAACGCAUUAAGCACUCCGCCUGGGGAGUACGGCCGCAAGGCUGAAACUCAAAGGAAUUGACGGGGGCCCGCGACAAGCGGUGGAGCAUGUGGUUUAAUUCGAAGCAACGCGAAGAACCUUACCAGGUCUUGACAUCCUCUGACAACCCUAGAGAUAGGGCUUCUCCUUCGGGAGCAGAGUGACAGGUGGUGCAUGGUUGUCGUCAGCUCGUGUCGUGAGAUGUUGGGUUAAGUCCCGCAACGAGCGCAACCCUUGAUCUUAGUUGCCAUCAUUAAGUUGGGCACUCUAAGGUGACUGCCGGUGACAAACCGGAGGAGGGUGGGGAUGACGUCAAAUCAUCAUGCCCCUUAUGACCUGGGCUACACACGUGCUACAAUGGACGGUACAAAGAGCUGCAAGACCGCGAGGUGGAGCUAAUCUCAUAAAACCGUUCUCAGUUCGGA